AACUUGGUCUCCCCAGGACUCAGGACUGGGGCUUCUUACUGGGAUAUGAAAUGCCCAGGAAGAGGCACCAGGCUGGUGGAUAUGGGGAGGGUCAUAAUGUGCCCAAUAGGGUGGGAAGUGCCCCAUCACUCAUCCCCUGGCCCUCUCCUCCUUACUGCCUCGUGCCCCCAACUCUCACGUGCCUGGUGCUGCUCCUGCCACAUUUCUGCCUGUGCAGACCCCAUUCUGGACUAUGCGACCAUCAGCAGGAGAGUCUCAGUGCCUGUCAUCAUUUGCAUCAUCCUGGGGCUCCUUAUUUGCCUACUCCUGGCCCUCCUGGCAAGGCAGAUGCAAAGUGCCAGAGCUCGGCACAGAGACUCCAGGAGAUCUGGGGAGCCCUUCUCUGAAGCUGUGUACGAGGAGAUUGAGUACAGCCCAAUGAGGGAGAAGAAAAUGAGAUUCAGUUUCUCAGGUGGGUGCAGGUCGCAGCAGGAACACAUUUGUCAAUAUUUUUCUCC
ensembl:lncRNA